UACGGGGGGGGCAAGCGUUGUUCGGAAUUACUGGGCGUAAAGGGCUCGUAGGCGGCCAACUAAGUCCGACGUGAAAUCCCCAGGCUUAACCUGGGAACUGCGUCGGAUACUGGUUGGCUUGAAUCCGGGAGAGGGAUGCGGAAUUCCAGGUGUAGCGGUGAAAUGCGUAGAUAUCUGGAGGAAUACCGGUGGCGAAGGCGGCAUCCUGGACCGGCAUUGACGCUGAGGAGCGAAAGCCAGGGGAGCAAACGGG
rnacentral:rRNA from 1 species